GUGGGGUAAUGGCCUACCAAGGCGACGACGGGUAGCCGGCCUGAGAGGGUGACCGGCCACACUGGGACUGAGACACGGCCCAGACUCCUACGGGAGGCAGCAGUGGGGAAUAUUGGACAAUGGGCGGAAGCCUGAUCCAGCAACGCCGCGUGAGGGAUGACGGCCUUCGGGUUGUAAACCUCUUUCAGCACCGACGAAGCGAGCCUUUGGGUGAGUGACGGUAGGUGUAGAAGAAGGACCGGCCAACUACGUGCCAGCAGCCGCGGUAAUACGUAGGGUCCGAGCGUUGUCCGGAAUUAUUGGGCGUAAAGGGCUCGUAGGCGGUUUGUCGCGUCGGGAGUGAAAACACCGGGCUUAACUCGGUGCUUGCCUUCGAUACGGGCAGACUGGAGGUAUGCAGGGGAGAACGGAAUUCCUGGUGUAGCGGUGAAAUGCGCAGAUAUCAGGAGGAACACCGGUGGCGAAGGCGGUUCUCUGGGCAUUACCUGACGCUGAGGAGCGAAAGUGUGGGGAGCGAACAGGAUUAGAUACCCUGGUAGUCCACGCCGUAAACGUUGGGCGCUAGGUGUGGGGUCCCUUCCACGGGCUCCGUGCCGCAGCUAACGCAUUAAGCG
rnacentral:rRNA from 1 species